GGGUGGGAGGGGACGGAGCGGGCGGGACUUGAGAAAAGCAAAGUACCAGAGUGCGGUUGAGGGGAUCCCACCAACCCGGGAAUGGAGGGGGAGGGAGGCGUGGGCUUGGCGCGUUUUUGGUGCUUUGAAUGGAGAACUCCGUUUCCCAUGAUGCUUUGUUUCUUUCUCUUUAAUUGCACUUGGAAAUGGGAGAAGGUUUUCUUAUGGAAGAUAAUGACAUGAAGGGAAGAAGAGCUAAUCUGCCUACUUUGGUUUAAUGGAGAAAAUGGGUCCAUAAAUGUUUAAACAGAAGUAGAGCCCUUUGAAAUAGAUCAAAAUGUGACAUCUCUCAGCCAUCUGUGCAUUAUGUGAAGACUGUAAGGCUGUGUUUCUUAAACCAGCUCUAAAAUUUCUCUCAUUUUCUAUUAAUGGGGUGGGGGCUGGGGUUGCCAGUGUUAUUCGUGUUCAAUUCUGUGUAAAUAAUUGAGAUUAUUAA
rnacentral:lncRNA from 1 species